AAAUGCGACGAAUUUAGCCAUGCUAGUCGCACGAGUUCAGACUCGUGGCGAAUAGCUCAGUAACACGUGGCCAAACUACCCUUCGGAACACAAUACCCUCGGGAAACUGAGGCUAAUAGUGUAUACCAUACCACCACUGGAAUGAGUGGUAUGCCAAACGCUCCGGCGCCGAAGGAUGUGGCUGCGGCCGAUUAGGUAGACGGUGGGGUAACGGCCCACCGUGCCAAUAAUCGGUAUGGGUCAUGAGAGUGAGAACCCAGAGACGGAAUCUGAGACAAGAUUCCGGGCCCUACGGGGCGCAGCAGGCGCGAAACCUUUACACUGCACGACAGUGCGAUAGGGGGAUCCCAAGUGCACAGGCAUAGCGCCUGUGCUUUUCGGUACCCUAAGGCGGUACCAGAAUAAGGGCUGGGCAAGACCGGUGCCAGCCGCCGCGGUAAUACCGGCAGCCCAAGUGAUGGCCGAUCUUAUUGGGCCUAAAGCGUCCGUAGCUGGCCGCGCAAGUCCAUCGGGAAAUCCACCUGCUCAACAGGUGGGCGCCCGGUAGAAACUGCGUGGCUUGGGACCGGAAGGCGCGACGGGUACGUCCGGGGUAGGAGUGAAAUCCCGUAAUCCUGGACGGACCGCCGAUGGCGAAAGCACGUCGCGAGAACGGAUCCGACAGUGAGGGACGAAAGCCAGGGUCUCGAACCGGAUUAGA
rnacentral:rRNA from 1 species